GACAGAGGGUGCAAACGUUGCUCGGAAUCACUGGGCGUAAAGGGCGUGUAGGCGGAUAGAUAAGUCGGGCGUGAAAUCCCCAGGCUCAACCUGGGAACUGCACUCGAAACUGUUUAUCUUGAGUGCCGGAGAGGAAAGCGGAAUUCCUGGUGUAGAGGUGAAAUUCGUAGAUAUCAGGAGGAACACCAGUGGCGAAGGCGGCUUUCUGGACGGUAACUGACGCUCAUGCACGAAAGCGUGGGGAGCAAACAGG
rnacentral:rRNA from 1 species